CGAGGAGGCGGGCGCCUGUCCCCCCAGCCCAGGUUCUGUGAUACACUCAGACUCGGACUCUGGAGCAGUCAGUGCAUGACAGAACUUGGGCCAGGAGGACGUUCCUCACCCGCGGGCCU
rnacentral:pre_miRNA from 13 species